rnacentral:lncRNA from 1 species
GGGCAAGAAAUCCCGAACCAUCGGGGAUUUUGUUCUAGGACAGAGUCCGGCUUGGCCACGCCAAGGAAGAAGAAGGGAGAGGGCGCUGCCAGGUGGGCCCGAUCCGUCAGCGUCUGGAAGAGGAGAGGAGGGGAGCGCUGGCGGGCCAAGUUGAGUUGGGCUGGGGAUUGCCGCAGGCCCACGAGGGAGAGAAAGGGCGGCUGGGCCACUCAGUGGGUGCUGCUACUGCACUUGUGGGCUGCAGAAACAGGCCAGGCCUGGGGAGAGACUUGGGCCUUCGGGCCAGAAGUAGAGAGGGAGAGGGAGGUUUUUUCCUUUUCUUCUUUUCUUUUCUUUUUCUCUAUUUGAAAGCCUACUUCAAAACAAAUUUUGAAAACCAUCUUAAAACUAGUUUGAAUCAUUUUGUAUUUUGGGAUCAAAUCACUCAGCACAACAAAAUGAAUUCUCCAGCAUGAAUGCACAUUCAAGUUACUAAGUCCUAUGAUAAUUUUUAAUUUACUAAAAAAUAUUAUUUCUCUAUAUUCCAUGAACACAAAAAUACAAAAUUAAAUCAUUUUCACUCUAUUUCCCAGAAAACAAUUUUUAGGGUGUUACAAAUCUACCCCCUUAAAAUGAAUCUCGUCCUCGAGAUUCG